rnacentral:rRNA from 1 species
UACAGAGGGUGCAAGCGUUAAUCGGAAUUACUGGGCGUAAAGCGCGCGUAGGUGGUUUGUUAAGUCGAACGUGAAAUCCCCGGGCUCAACCCGGGAACUGCGUCCGAUACUGGAAGGCUUGAAUCCGGGAGAGGGAUGCGGAAUUCCAGGUGUAGCGGUGAAAUGCGUAGAUAUCUGGAGGAACACCGGUGGCGAAGGCGGCAUCCUGGACCGGCAUUGACGCUGAGGCGCGAAAGCCAGGGGAGCAAACAGG